rnacentral:rRNA from 1 species
GAUGAACGCUGGCGGCGUGCCUAAUACAUGCAAGUCGAGCGAACAGAUGAGGAGCUUGCUCCUCUGACGUUAGCGGCGGACGGGUGAGUAACACGUGGAUAACCUACCUAUAAGACUGGGAUAACUUCGGGAAACCGGAGCUAAUACCGGAUAAUAUAUUGAACCGCAUGGUUCAAUAGUGAAAGACGGUUUUGCUGUCACUUAUAGAUGGAUCCGCGCCGCAUUAGCUAGUUGGUAAGGUAACGGCUUACCAAGGCGACGAUGCGUAGCCGACCUGAGAGGGUGAUCGGCCACACUGGAACUGAGACACGAUCCAGACUCCUACGGGAGGCAGCAGUAGGGAAUCUUCCGCAAUGGGCGAAAGCUUGACGGAGCAACGCCGCGUGAGUGAUGAAGGUCUUCGGAUCGUAAAACUCUGUUAUUAGGGAAGAACAAAUGUGUAAGUAACUAUGCACGUCUUGACGGUACCUAAUCAGAAAGCCACGGCUAACUACGUG